GGGAGUGAGGACUUGAAGUUGAGUCCGAGGGUUAUGCGGGAGGCCGAGGAGCUUCUGACGGAUUGCUUUAGCGCGGGUGUCAAGGCUUGGGGGAUUAUGAGGCAACACGAACGGCAGCUGUGGCAGAAACGUCAGGCAGCAUAAGGGCACGAAAAACACGCGCAGCUGACCGCCAGCUGAAGGACUACUGAAUCCGGGUCACCAAACAACGUCCUCGACCUGAUGGAAGUGUUGGCAAACAUUGACGUGAGCGACAUCAUGGAAAUCCCCAGUGUGUUUGAGUGUGACGACCAGACCUGCCUUGCGACCAUACACCACGAUUCCGUACGGCGACAGGAUGGUGCAAUAACCUGAAUUUCCCGUCCUUCGGCAAGUCAUUCCGGGCCAAGAGUCGUCUGUUGAGGCCCUCCUAUGAAGGUGGUCUAUCAAAACCCUGAGCUACGUCAAUCACAGGUCAGCCGCUUCCCUCCCCUCGGCUAAUCUCUACGAACAUGCACAACAAUGUCUCGGCUCCUCAUGUUCGCUACACCCUCAUGGUCAUGCAAUGGGGGCAGCUUAUCGACCAUGACAUCAUCUUCACGCCCAUCAACAAAGGUUACCGAGAGCAGAUGAACCAGGUCACUGCAUUUGUGGAUGCCUCACACACCCAUGGCUCAGACAAGUGUGAACAGAGACAGCUGAGAAUGAUAACGGUCACGCUUGCCAAGAUGCUCUGCGAUAACUGUGAUAAUGUGGAGAGUGAGCAGCGGUCCGUCUUUGACCUUCCUGACCCCUUCCUGAACCCUCGUGUGUCCCACCGUGACCUGCCGGGGAUCAACCCGGAGCUGUGGAAGGAGCGCGUGUCAUGUGGGGUCGGCAAGACUGAUAUUGACAUCGGGGCAGCCGAGCGCAUAUCACCCUGUGUCAUGUGCACCUGUACCAAGGAAGGGAAUUGAAUGGCUGAACGGACAUCUCUGGCGUCUUGGUCAAGCGGCACACUGCACACUCUGGAAGAAAGAACACCAAGAUGUCAAGUUCCUGCAGAAUCAGCCUCUUAGUGAAGAAAAUGUGCCUUAUUUAUUUAAUAAAUAAUUGACAAAA